CUCCACGUAGCGCACAGGCUUUGGCCGCUGGGGGUGUGGUCUCAUGAACAAGAGGUGACGUAGUGGCGGCUGCUCCCUGCGCCUGAGCUUCAGGCAGAGCCCUCUGCGAGUGGUGCCUUUCGAAGCCAGAGCGGCCCGGAAAGCUCCUGGACACCCCCCCCCCCGUGUCGGUGAAACCUGAGUGUUUAAUUUUAACUGUACCACGAAUUCAGCAUCGCAAGGGCACUCGCGGGGUCGCUCCACUGUGCAGCAAGAGGCUUUACUUAUCGGUUACUGUGUCGCUUCUUCUACAGCUUGUCGGGCUGCUCUGUACCGGACACUAGGGUAGGAGUUAAGGAUACACAAGUAAAAAGGAUGGGUUGCGAACUCUUGUUCGUGCAGGAAAAACAUGUUGGUUACUUUCUAUAGUAGUGAUUUUCCCUGGUAGCUUUACAGCUCGUAGUUGAAACCCUGCGUUCUUGAAUAUACCAAGAGCUUUGUUCAAGAAGCCGAUUUAACCCAUGAAGUUUAAAACGCAGACCACCUUAAAAGCUGUUAAAUGAAGAAUUUGCAUCCCAUUCCGGAGGUGUUUAUCAAAUGUUUUCCGUGUAUUUUUUUUUGGAAGACAUCAGUGCGGAAGAGCUAGGUAUGCAGACUCUGGGACCUGCCUGCCUGGAUCUGUCACUGGCUGUAUGACCGUGGAGAGACAGAGAGAAAACAUGAUCGGGGAGGAGCAGAGAGAAAGGGAAAGAGAAAAUCCCAAGCAGAGUCUGCAAUAUCAGCACAGAACCGGAUGUGGGGCUCGAACUCACGAACUGUGAGACCAUGACCUGUGCCGAAAUCAAAAGUCGGAUGCUUAAUUGACUGAGCCACGCAGGCGCCCCUGAACCUUGGAUUUUUGAAACCUCAAUGGCUAGCAACAAAAAAAGCAAAUGAAAACACUAUCAGCUGAAACCUGGUUUCUGUUUCUCAAGAGGUGGGAUCAUCGAUACUUCUCUAGAAAAAACAGUUCCUUUGUUGUGAGAAACCAUCUAAAUGAGUUUAUUUAUGCAAGCGUAAAGCAAAAACCCAUUUUAUUUUUUAAUGUUUUUAAAAUAUUAUUUAUCUUGCCCCUGAGGUUUUUUUUUAAGUUUUUUUUAUUUUGAGAGAGAGAGAGAGAGAGAGAGAGAGAACAUUAGUGUGUGUGUGAGUGGGGGAGGGGCAGAGAGAGAGGGAGAGAGAGAGAAUCCCAAGCAGGCUCCGUGCUGUCAGUGCAGAGCCCGACUCAGGGCUUGAAGUGGGGCUUGAUUUACCCAAACUAUGAAAUUUGAAGUGGGGUUCAUGGGCAAAUGGCUAAGAAAGAAUUCUUGAGACGUUUUUGGUGCAAAGGCGUGAUUUUAUUCAAGCACAGGGACAGGACCCGUGGGCAGAAAGAGCUGUACGUGCAAGUGGGAGGGGUGGCUGAUGAUGUAGUUUAAUUUGUGGAGGGAGUGGGGUAGAGGUAACGCAGGUUACUAAGGAAUUUUUGUAUGCUGAAGUCAGGGUCUUAUAGGACCUUGAAUAUUUGGCUUUCGUCAAGAUACCAUUAUUUUCAGUUUUUAGUGAAGUAUAAACAUUAAGGCAUUAAGGCAGCCAUGAACUUCUCAAAGAAUGUCACACGCUGCGCGUCUCAGGUAUCAGUGGCUGCAAGCUGUUAGGAGAUUUACCUAAAAUACAUUUUUCUUGCCUUUGUUCUCCUCAUCAUUUCCCCCCCUGAACAAUUUUGACCCUUAAAUCUUUAAGGUUGCUGGGGGUGGAAGGCCUUAUCUUCUGUAACUUCUUCCUGCUGAAUAGGGGCGUAGAGAUGUUCCUACCUAUGGGUCAACAUUGGUCAGUUAAGGAUGUGGGAGUUAAGAAAGGGAGAGGCAGCCAAAUCCAAGGUGGAUUGGAUACAUGAAUCUCCUUGAGUAGAAAGGAUCAUCUGUUGACUUGCAGUUUUUGUAGUGAUGGAGUCUUGGGACCAAGCAAAAAACAAAACAAAACAAAACAAAAAAACAUUGAAGAAAACAGCAUAUUAGAAUUAAAGCAGUUGAGGCCCCUGGGUCUCAGUUGGUUAAGCGUCUGACUUUGGCCCAGGUCAUGAUCGUGGUUUGUGAGUUCAAGCCCUGCAUCGAGGUCUGUGCUGACAGCUCAGAGCUUGGAACCUGCUUCAGAUUCUGUGUUUCCCUCUCUCUCUGCCCCUCCCUGGCUCGCACUCCGUCUCUCUCUCUCUCUCUCUC